AUGUAUUUGGCGAGUGCCACGAGGCCUGACAUCUCUUUUGCUAUGAGCAAGCUGAGUCGGUUUGUGUCAAAACCGGGAGAUGAUUAUUGGUGUGCGCUUGAGAGAGUUAUGCUCUACUUGAAAGGCACUGAGAGCUAUGGGGUUCACUACACCGGGUAUCCAAGGGUACUGGAGGGUUAUAGUGACUCGAAUUGGAUAUGUGAUGCAGAUGAGAUUAAGGCCACAAGUGGUUAUGUUUUUACACUUGGCGGUGGCGCUUUUUCCUGGAAGUCUUGCAAGCAGACUAUCUUAACGAGGUCAACUAUGGAAGCAGAUCUCACAGCAUUAGACACUGCCACUGUUGAAGCACAGUGGCUUCGUGAGCUAUUGAUGGACUUACCUAUGGUUGAAAAACCAAUACCCCCUAUCCUGAUGAACUGUGAUAAUCAAACUAUGAUCGUCAAGAUAAACAGUUCUAAGAAUAAUAUGAAGUCCUCAAGGCAUGUGAAGAGGAGACUAAAAUCUGUCAGAAAACUGAAGAACUCCGGAGUUAUUACGUUGGAUUAUAUCCGAACGUCGAAAAACUUGGCAGAUCCCUUCACAAAGGGUUUAUCACGUAAUGUGAUAGAUAAUGCAUCGAUGCAGAUGGGUUUGAGACCCAGCACAUGA
rnacentral:rRNA from 1 species